AGUGAACGCUGGCGGUAGGCCUAACACAUGCCAGUCGAACGGCAACACAGUAAGAGCUUGCUCUUACGGGUGGCGAGUGGCGGACGGGUGAGGAAUACAUCGGAAUCUACUUUUUCGUGGGGGGUAACGUAGGGAAACUUACGCUAAUACCGCAUACGGCCUACGGGUGAAAGAAGGGGAUCUUCGGGCCUUGCGCGACUGAAUGAGCCGAUGUCGGAUUAGCUAGUUGGCGGGGUAAAGGCCCACCAAGGCGACGAUCCGUAGCUGGUCUGAGAGGAUGAUCAGCCACACUGGAACUGAGACACGGUCCAGACUCCUACGGGAGGCAGCAGUGGGGAAUAUUGGACAAUGGGCGCAAGCCUGAUCCAGCCAUACCGCGUGGGUGAAGAAGGCCUUCGGGUUGUAAAGCCCUUUUGUUGGGAAAGAAAAGCAGCAGGUUAAUACCCCGCUGUUCUGACGGUACCCAAAGAAUAAGCACCGGCUAACUUCGUG
rnacentral:rRNA from 1 species